rnacentral:rRNA from 1 species
CGAACGGGUGAGUAACACGUAGGGAACCUGCCCGUGCACCGGGAAUACGCUCUGGAAACGGAGAACAAAUCCCGAUGUACAGGAAGGAGGCAUCUUCUUUCUGUGAAACAUCCUUUAGGGGAUGGGGCGCGGAUGGACCUGCGGUGCAUUAGUUGGUUGGCGGGGUAAAGGCCCACCAAGACGAUGAUGCAUAGCCGGCCUGAGAGGGCGGACGGCCACAUUGGGACUGAGACACGGCCCAGACUCCUACGGAAGGCAGCAG